AAUCAUCUAUGUGUGGGAGAAGAAUUGGGGAAGUGAAGUAGAAGAGUUGGUUAUAGUGUUUUGCAGGAAAUAUUUGGCAUGGCACUUGGCAUGAGAGUGAAUCAUUGUAUAAAGAUUUUAUUGUACCAUUAGGAAUUCCACCAUUGUAAUAGUAAUUUUGGUAGUAGGUUUUGCCUGUGCGUUUGAGUAUAAGAGAGAUACUCGAACGUGGCAUAACACCCCUUUUUCCUUUUAGUUGUUGUUUAAGCUUCCGCUGUUGUAAAAAAAAAAAAUUAAUUAUACUCGUAUUUUCGGUAGUGGAAAAAGUGGGGUGUUACAAUUUCCGUCAGUAAAUAUAGCAUCGCUAAAUAUCCGUCGCUAAAUGUAGUGACGGAAAAUUUUGUCGCUAA